rnacentral:rRNA from 2 species
AGUUGCGAUCAUACCAGCACUAAUGCACCGGAUCCCAUCAGAACUCCGCCGUUAAGCGUGCUUGGGUGAGAUUUAAAUAUAUAAUUUUAAAAUUUACAAACAUAAUAUACUUUUUGCAGUAA